AGUGAACGCUGGCGGCGUGCUUAACACAUGCAAGUCGAACGAGAACGGAUUAUAGCUUGCUAUAAUUGUCAGCUAAGUGGCGCACGGGUGAGUAAUGUAUAGGUAAUACGCCUCUUACUAAGGGAUAACAAAUGGAAACGUUUGCUAAUACCUUAUACUCCUUAUUAACAGAAGUUAAUAAGGGAAAGAUUUAUUGGUAAGAGAUUAGCCUGUAUUGUAUCAGUUAGUUGGUGGGGUAAUGGCUUACCAAGACUAUGACACAUAACUGGUUUGAGAGGAUGAUCAGUCACACUGGAACUGAAACACGGUCCAGACUCCUACGGGAGGCAGCAGUGGGGAAUAUUGCACAAUGGACGAAAGUCUGAUGCAGCAACGCCGCGUGGAGGAUGACACAUUACGGUGCGUAAACUCCUUUUAUAUGAGAAGAUAAUGACGGUAUUAUAUGAAUAAGCACCGGCUAACUCCGUGCCAGCCGCCGCCGUAA
rnacentral:rRNA from 1 species